AAUCAAUGUACUAAAAUUUAUAUAUUUUUGGGCCUAUCACUUUUGUCUAUUUACUUUCUUUUAGCCCAUUUAUCCUUAUUAAAUUGGGUCACUUUUAAUAUAGCCAUUUAUUAUAAUUUCUAUUGAAUUCCUACGGCCAACAUAAAUCCCUUCUUCUAAACCCACGUUUUUUUCCCAUCAAUAUCUCCACCCACAAAAUUCUCUCCAACAAACAAAUCUAAUCUCUACAUUAUAUAUCUCUCCCCACAACUGCAUCUUUUAUCAGCCGUUUCAAAAUCUCCAGUGCAGUUUUCGUCCCUUCCAACAAGUGAAAAGGAGGAAUCGAGCGGACUGUGAAUCCAAAUUCUCCUUGCAAUCCCAAUUUAUUCUCUUCAUUCCAAAGGGUGAACUUGUGCACGUUGUUGCGGUUGGAACAGGAAGUGUUUGGGGAGUUAAGCUGUUGAGAUUGAGCGUUGAUGGGCGUGGAGGAUGUUGAGCAGAGUUCAUGGAUUGUUUAGUCAUGAUUAAUAAUUGUUGGAUUUGUCGUGUCUUCAUACUCGGCAUUUUCCGUGUCUUGAACGCUUCCGCCAAGAGUCAUUUUCUUUAGAAUUGGUUAUUCAUGCAGAGUCGAACUCGCUAAAAAAAAUAGUUUUCUGUCCAUUCGUUAUUUCCUUAGAGUUGACAUUAUUAUUAGGAUAAUAUUAUGACGUUUUCAAAUUUAAUUCAGUUAUUAAAUUUUUGGUCAAAUGUGUAUGUUUUUCCCCUUUCUUCCCCACUUCUUUAAUCCUCCCCUAGUCGCGAUCAACCGUAUUUUCUAUCCUUAGAAAUGCGGGCGUGACACCUCCGCCACGACGUCCACCUUCCAUCAUCCCUCAGCCUCACCCACCAUC